GCUUCGGAUUCCAGGUGUGGCAGUGACUCCGCGCUCCACGUUUUGCAGGCUGCCACCGUGUCGGAGGCGAGGCGAGGAAGGGAGCUGGAAUAACAAAGGGAGGUAAUGGGGUAGAUUGGAUACCUCUGGGGUCUUGGAAGAAGCUAUGACUUAUUUACUGUCUACUAUGUGGUGGAUGGUGUUUGAAGUGAAUUGAAUUAGGGGACACCCAGCUGGCAUCUGCUGCAGAACUGAUGACUCGCUUGCUGGUGGGCAGAAAUCUCCAUAAUCUUUCUUUAGCAGAUGAGGUCACUGAGGCUCAGAGAGGCUGAAGCCACUUGCUCAGAGCCGCACAGCAAGCCCACCACCCUGAACCUCCAGAUUACCAACUCAGCAUUGUGUCCUGACAGUGUCAUCAUAGAUGGUCAACACCGUCACCUGGGCAGCACUGAAGCCCAGAGCGGGAGAGACUGGCUCAAGACCAUGGCCUCUCCUGGUCUGACAGUCUCAGAUGCAGUCAUGGAUGGCUUUCUGGAGGAGGUGGUACCUGGUCUGUGGGAAGUAGGGGUCAGCAUCCUGGUCUCUGGGAGCAUCUGCUCCAGAUGGUUUCCCUGGGGCCCCCAGAAGCAGGUGUUUGCGCUAACAGCUCUGCAAGCAGAGAGCUUCAGUGCAUGGCCCUUCUUGCCCUUGUUCCCAGGCACAUGCUGUUCCCCUGGGGCUGAAUACCCCACUUACUUGUAAAUCCCAGUGCUCUCCUGUUCAUUCUGCAGUGCCAGCACAAGUCUCCUCCUUGGGGAAGGCUUUCUGGACUUCCCAGCCCACUGGCCAUUGUUCCGUCUUGCAGGUGCCCCCUCAGGGUGCCUGCUGUAACCGUCACUCACAUAUCUCCCCCACCCAACAGAGGGCCUUGCUUUUGGUCCUGGACCUGCACCUUUGACUGUAUUCUUAGUGAUUUGUCCAAGCCCACCCUGGGAGAUAGGGGCGGUGCCAGGCUAGCACCCAGUUCUCCUGGGUUCUCUGAGAAAGUUCCUACCUUCUUCCCUGGCUCACAAGUAGUACUUAAGCAGUUUUGGUUGUUAAAGAAAAUACUGAAUUUAUUCUUCCAACCACUCAUAUAUAUAUAUAAAUCAGUGUUAUUGAGAAACAAUUUACAAAAUGCACCCAUUUUCACUGUACAGUUCAGUGAAUUUUAACAGGUGUGUACAGUGGUGUAAACACUGCCACACCCAAGAUAUCACACAUUUCCAUCACCCCUCAAAAUCUCCUCAUACCCCUUCCUGAUCAAUCCCUCUUCCUGCCUCAGGCAACAUUUGAUUUGAUUUUAUCAAUAUCGAUUAGUUUUGCAUGUUCUAGAAUGUCCUAUAAAUUGUGAUUAGGCAGUAUGUACUUUCUGUGUAGUGCCAUGCAUGUUGUAUCUUGCAUGAGUAGUUCGGCCCUUUGCAUUGCUGGGUAGUAUUCUGGAGAAUGGACAUUCCACAAUUUGUUUAUCUGUUCACCAAUUGAUAGAAUUUGGGUUAUUUCCAGUUUGGGGAUUUUAUGAAUAAAGCUGCUAUGAACAUUCA
rnacentral:lncRNA from 1 species